AGUUGAUAUGGCUCAGGAUGAACGCUAGCUACAGGCUUAACACAUGCAAGUCGAGGGGCAGCAUAUCGAAGCUUGCUUGAUAGAUGGCGACCGGCGCACGGGUGAGUAACGCGUAUCCAACCUUCCCAUCACUCAGGGAUAGCCCGCCGAAAGGCGAAUUAAUACCUGAUGGUCUCCUUCGCGGACAUCUAACGAGGAGUAAAGAUUUAUUGGUGAUGGAUGGGGAUGCGUCUGAUUAGGUAGUAGGCGGGGUAACGGCCCACCUAGCCGACGAUCAGUAGGGGUUCUGAGAGGAAGGUCCCCCACAUUGGAACUGAGACACGGUCCAAACUCCUACGGGAGGCAGCAGUGAGGAAUAUUGGUCAAUGGACGGAAGUCUGAACCAGCCAAGUAGCGUGCCAGGAUGACGGCCCUAUGGGUUGUAAACUGCUUUUGUGCGGGAAUAAAGUAUGGGACGUGUCCCAUUUUGCAUGUACCGCACGAAUAAGGACCGGCUAAUUCCGUGCCAGCAGCCGC
rnacentral:rRNA from 1 species